rnacentral:rRNA from 1 species
UGAGCAACCUACCGAAAUGAGGGGGAUAGCCGGCCCAACGGCCGGGUAAUACCGCAUACGCUCGAGACCAGGCAUUUGGACUCGAGGAAACCUCCGGGGCAUUUCGAGGGGCUCGCGGCCUAUCAGCUAGUUGGUGAGGUAAUGGCCCACCAAGGCGACGACGGGUAGCCGGCCUGAGAGGGUGACCGGCCACACUGGGACUGAGACACGGCCCAGACUCCUACGGGAGGCAG